rnacentral:rRNA from 1 species
GACGAACGCUGGCGGCGUGCUUAACACAUGCAAGUCGAACGGAAAGGCCCUGCUUUUGUGGGGUGCUCGAGUGGCGAACGGGUGAGUAACACGUGAGUAACCUGCCCUUGACUUUGGGAUAACUUCAGGAAACUGGGGCUAAUACCGUAUAGGAGCUCCUGCUGCAUUGUGGGGGUUGGAAAGUUUCGGCUGUUGGGGAUGGACUCGCGGCUUAUCAGCUUGUUGGUGGGGUAGUGGCUUACCAAGGCUUUGACGGGUAGCCGGCCUGAGAGGGUGACCGGCCACAUUGGGACUGAGAUACGGCGCAGACUCCUACGGGAGGCAGUAGUGGGGAAUAUUGCACAAUGGGCGGAAGCCUGAUGCAGCAACGCCGCGUGCGGGAUGACGGCCUUUGGGUUGUAAACCGCUUUCGCCUGUGACGAAGCGUGAGUGACGGUAAUGGGUAAAGAAGCACCGGCUAACUACGUG